CUCAGUAAUUCUCCUCCCCUCAGUUUCAGGCUAGAUGGGUCACAGUGUUCAUUCAUUACAGUUGAUAUUGAGUAGGAAGAUGACAAGUACGCACGUACAAACUGUUCUUUUGUGUCAAACUCAUUUUAAACAAGAAGGAAGGUAAGGUGUUUUCUAGGGAAACUUACCUACCUUGGCAAAAGGAUAGCUGUUUCUGGUCAUAAUCAUCACAGACAGAUAUUGGUGGUUUAGAAGAAGCAUGUCCUGCCCCUAAAUCAAGCACUUCAUGUCCCUCAGUUAUUCCCUUGCAUUUUUGUUCAGCUGUUGAAAGGAUAACUGUGUGGAAUUCCUCAAAAUAAUCUCUUGUCUGUUUUUCAGGAGUCUCUGUUUCCUGGUCCCUUAUUUUCCAGGCUCCUGAUAUCUGAAAAGUUUCCAUGCUUGUCUACCUCUUCUCAUCUUGCUCUAUACAAGGAUCUCACUGAGUUGCUGAGGCUGGCUUUGAACUUGUGAUCUUCCUGCCUCAGCCUCCUGAGUCCCUGGGAUUAUAGGUGUGCAUCACUGCCUGGUGCAGCAUGGGCUUUAAAGGUAAAUCUCACUGUCUUGAAAUUGUCCUUAAGCCAUGUGGAUCCUUGACUAGCUUGGUGCCUUCAGACAGCCUUCCUCCUAGGAUAUUUCAGGUGAUGAGACUCUUUCCAGUUUCAAAUGGCCUCUAGAGAAAGAAAUUUCACUAACCUGUUUUGGUGUUUAGUCCUGUCUUCUGGAGGUCCCUACGGGAGGUAGCAGAUUCAAAACUGGCAUGAGUCAGAUCUGGGCACAGAUCUCAGCUUCAGAUGGCACAAUCUCUUUACAUUUUAUGGGGCAAAUACUUAGCACAUGUCUCUCUUUUGUAACAAAUCACAUGGUGAGAAUGAAGGAAUGGUUUAAAAUUCACUCAGUAAUAUUUCUGAGUCAUCCCUAAGGGCAGGGCAUGGUGCUAGGCACUGGGAGAAAGGGAGCAGGAGCAGGGUAGAGAGGAAGGAGACAUGAUUCUUUCCUUGUCAGGACUCCUGAUCUAAUUGAGAAGGUGGCUGAAUCACCACAGUGGUGGCAUUUCUUUUCAGUAGGCUGCAAUUCCAGGUGAUCACUAGAAGAGUGGGUCCAAAUUGUGUAACCUCCAAACCAGGGAUCAUCACAUACUACGAGAGAAUUACUGGCCCCAAUUUCUCUCCCCUCCUGGCAUCCAUGGUCUCCAUGUAGUGGGAAUGUCCUUUCCUGUCCUCUGGCUUUGGGCUUGCUUUGACCCUUCAAAUAAAGUACAAAAGGCCUGCUGAG